rnacentral:rRNA from 1 species
AAGUCGUAACAAGGUUUCCGUAGGUGAACCUGCGGAAGGAUCAUUACGAAAGUUAGAAUUUGUUUUUAAACAGUUCGACCUUCCAACCCUAUGUUUAAUUGACUUUAUAUUUGUUGUUUUGGUUGUGAAAUAAUCAACCAGCAGCCUACAAUUUUAAAACUCUUGUUAACAAUUAUGUCAUGUCUAAAUUUUGAUAACAAAAAUAAAAAAACAAAACUUUCAACAACGGAUCUCUUGGUUCUGGCAUCGAUGAAGAACGCAGCAAAAUGCGAUAAGUAAUGCGAAUUGCAGAAUUUCCGUGAGUCAUCGAAUCUUUGAACGUACAUUACACCCUCUGGUAUUCCGGAGGGUAUGCCUAUUCGAGCGUCAUUGACAACCCUAAUCUUCACUGAUUAUGUUAAAUCAAGUUUUGGGGAUGACCCCAAAACCGAUUUCAAAGACAAUGAUGAUGCCUUAAUGGAUUAUGGUACAAGGAGCUGAUUUUAAUUUGGCAUGUAUCAGGAGACAUUAAGCAUGGUCUGAUUUUUUAAUAAAUAACCAGGUUGACCUCGGAUUAGGUAGGAAUACCCGCUGAACUUAA